ACUAUAUACAAGAGAUCUCCCAUGCAAAGUUGACGCUUCCAGGGAAUAUGAAUCACAACAGAUAAUUUAGCAUUGUGGGUACUUGGGACGAAGUGGUGAUUUCCCUUGAUCUUUGUCUCACUGCCUAUAUAUUGGACGGACCAAUUCUAAUCAACGAAAAAGGAAGGCAAGGACGAAAUGACCUUGAUCAUGUCAACAGUAACUCUUCUACUACAGCUGCUAUGUUCAGUUUCAGGUAUACGUGGAGCGUCCCAUUGCCUCUGGCCGUCUGUGUCAAACCCCUGCCCUGCCUGCGAGAUAGGAUGGUAUGGUGAUGUCUGUAACUUCAACUGUUCCUUCUGCGACAGCGGCGGCUGUCACAGGGACACCGGGAUAUGUAAACAGUGCCGAGCCGGCUACUUCUCUCACACCUGUAACGUGACAU